GACCCCUGUAACUUCAGCUCUCGGGACAGAACAAUUUUCUGGCCUCUUGUGGUUGUCUUGGGCUCACGUGGCCGGCCCCUUGUGUGGUAUGGACUUCCAGGAUUAGUCCACUUUAAUGUCCUAUGAGGAGAUGAAGGAGCAGAAUCCGCUGGAGACAUACAGAAGAUACUCAGUUUCACCUUCUCCUCCUUCUUCUUUCACUUCAUAAAAUCUGCUAAGACUUAAGUUUGAGAGCAUGGUAGUGAGUCACAACGGAUUCAGCAAAGACAGCAAGAUGCUUUGGAGGACGACAUCUCCCUGCUCAGUACCUAUCUGAACAUUUUGAUGACAGAAGUCAAUAAUGGCUGAGAUAACUCACCUCCGUCUGGAUCCGUUCCUGCAGAUGGCAAAGGCAGGGAUUAGGGACCUAACAAGGCUGGAUUCUGAGAGCAAUGUCCCUCCUGUUAGACUGUGACAUGACCUUACAGAGGCAGCACUGAGCCCCUGUUGCCAACAAUGAUUAUCUCCUCACCAACGCUCUUCCUUCUCUCCUUUCUCACAUGUAUCCCCACACCUACAGGCUGUGUCCCCGGCCACAGAUAAACAACCAAUUGCCCAUGU